GGCGCCUUCGGCGUCCGAGUUGUAAUCUCGAGAAGUGUUUUCCGUGAUAGACCGCAUACAAGUCUCUUGGAACAGAGCGUCAUAGUGGUGAGAACCCAGUACACGAUGCGGAUGCCUAUUAUUUUGUGAUACACUUUCGAAGAGUCGAGUUGUUUGGGAAUGCAGCUCAAAUUGGGUGGUAAAUUCCAUCUAAAGCUAAAUAUUGGCGAGAGACCGAUAGCGAACAAGUACCGUGAGGGAAAGAUGAAAAGCACUUUGGAAAGAGAGUUAACAGUACGUGAAAUUGUUGGAAGGGAAACACAUGCAGUGAUACUUGCUAUUCGGGGCAACUCGAUUGGCAGGCCCGCAUCAGUUUUUCGGGGCGGAAAAUCAUAGAGAGAAGGUAGCAGUCUCGGCUGUGUUAUAGCUCUUUAUUGGAUUCGCCCUGGGGGACUGAGGAACGCAGCGUGCUUUUUGCAUGAGCUUCGGCUUAUCCACGCUUAGGAUGCGGGUUUAUGGGUGUAUAUGACCCGUCUUGA
rnacentral:rRNA from 1 species